GAUGAACGCUGGCGGCGUGCCUAACACAUGCAAGUCGAGCGGACGGACGAGAUGGUGGCUUUUCUGAUGUUAAAGGCAGACGGGAGAGUAACACGUGCAUAACCUACCUAUAAGACUGGGAUAACUUCGGGAAACCGGUGCUAAUACCGGCUUAUCCUUUGAACCGCAUUGUUCAAAAGUGAUUGACGGUCUUGCUGUCACUUAUAGAUAGAUCCGCGUUGCAUUAGCUAGUUGGUAAGGUAACGGCUUACCAAGGCAAGGAUGCAUAGCCGACCGGAGAGGGUGAUCGGCCACACUGGUACUGAGACACGGUCCAGACUCCUACGGGAGGCAGCAGUCGGGAAUCUUCCGCAAUGGGCGAAAGCGUGACGGAGCAACGCCGCGUGAGUGAGGAAGAGCUUCGGCUCGUAAAACAUUGUUGUUAGGGAAUAACAUAUGUGUAAGGAACUGGGCACAUCUGGACGGUACCUAAAGAGAAAGCCACGGCUAACUACGUG
rnacentral:rRNA from 1 species